GAUGAACGCUAGCGGCAGGCCUAAUACAUGCAAGUCGAACGAGAUUACGAGGCUUGCUUCUUAUGAAAGUGGCGCACGGGUGCGUAACGCGUAUGCAACCUACCUUAAUCAGGGGGAUAGCCCGAAGAAAUUCGGAUUAAGACCGCAUAAAAACACAGGAUAGCAUUAUCCAAUGUUCAAAUAUUUAUAGGAUUAAGAUGGGCAUGCGUGUCAUUAGCUAGUUGGCGGGGUAACGGCCCACCAAGGCGACGAUGACUAGGGGAUCUGAGAGGAUGACCCCCCACACUGGUACUGAGACACGGACCAGACUCCUACGGGAGGCAGCAGUAAGGAAUAUUGGUCAAUGGAGGGAACUCUGAACCAGCCAUGCCGCGUGCAGGAAGACAGCCCUCUGGGUCGUAAACUGCUUUUAUUCGGGAAUAAACCUUUCUACGUGUAGGAAGCUGAAUGUACCGAAGGAAUAAGGAUCGGCUAACUCCGUG
rnacentral:rRNA from 1 species